GCGACCCCAGGUCAGGUGGGACUACCCGCUGAGUU
rnacentral:rRNA from 3 species